AUUGAACGCUGGCGGCAGGCUUAACACAUGCAAGUCGAGCGGAGAGAGGUAGCUUGCUACUGAUCUUAGCGGCGGACGGGUGAGUAAUGCUUAGGAAUCUGCCUAUUAGUGGGGGACAACAUUUCGAAAGGAAUGCUAAUACCGCAUACGUCCUACGGGAGAAAGCAGGGGAUCUUCGGACCUUGCGCUAAUAGAUGAGCAUAAGUCGGAUUAGCUAGUUGGUGGGGUAAAGGCCUACCAAGGAGACGAUCUGGAGCGGGUCUGAGAGGAUGCUCCGCCACACUGGGACUGAGACACGGCCCAGACUCCUACGGGAGGCAGCAGUGGGGAAUAUUGGACAAUGGGCGCAAGCCUGAUCCAGCCAUGCCGCGUGUGUGAAGAAGGCCUUAUGGUUGUAAAGCACUUUAAGCGAGGAGGAGGCUACUUUAGUUAAUACCUAGAGAUAGUGGACGUUACUCGCAGAAUAAGCACCGGCUAACUCUGUGCCAGCCGCCGCAGUAAGAC
rnacentral:rRNA from 1 species